rnacentral:rRNA from 1 species
CCUACGGGUGGCAGCAGUGGGGAAUAUUGCACAAUGGGCGAAAGCCUGAUCCAGCGACGCCGCGUGAGUGAAGAAGGAAUUCGGUAUGUAAAGCUCUAUUAGCAGGGAAGAAAAAGACGGUACGUGAGAAGGAAGCACCGGCUAACUACGUGCCAGCAGCGGCGGUAAUACGUACGGGGCAGGCGUUAUCCGGAUUUACUGGGGGUAAAGGGAGCGUAGACGGCAGUGCAGGUCUGGAGUGAAAGGCGGGGGCUCAACCCACGGACUGAUGUGGAAACUGUAUGACUUGAGUGCAGGAGAGGUAAGUGGAAUUCCUGGUGUAGCGGUGAAAUGCGUAGAUAUUAGGAGGAACACCAGUGGCGAAGGCGGCUUACUGGACUGUAACUGACGCUGAGGCUCGAAAGCGUGGGGAGCAAACAGGAUUAGAUACCCUAGUAGUC